UACGUAGGGGGCAAGCGUUGUCCGGAUUUACUGGGCGUCAAGCGCACGUAGGCGGCCCGUUAAGUCGGAUGUGAAAUCCCUCGGCUCAACCGAGGACGUGCAUUCGAAACUGGCGGGCUCGAGUAUGGAAGAGGGUCGCGGAAUUCCCGGUGUAGAGGUGAAAUUCGUAGAUAUCGGGAGGAACACCAGUGGCGAAGGCGGCGACCUGGGCCAAUACUGACGCUGAGGUGCGAAAGCGUGGGGAGCAAACAGG
rnacentral:rRNA from 1 species